GCUGCUUUAGACGUUCAAUCAUGAGAUGAAGGAUUGUGUCUGAUUAUCUGAGAUCAGUGUCAUGUAAAACCAACAAAUCUGACCCUGCGGCGACCUUGACACGGUCCAGCUGAGAAAUAAGAAAUGCAUUUGAGUUGAGAGCGAGCGUCCAGAUCUGACAGCAGGAGAAAAAGUGACAGGAAGUGCACUGUGCAGCAACAGGAAGUACGACUGAGCUCAACAUUCCAUGAGCCACAGUUUCCACAGGGUAAACACACUCCGCUGAGCUGCUGAGUGUGUGUUUGUGUGCGCAGCUCAUCAGCAUGACACAAACACACACGACCCCCGAUCAAUCUACUAUAAAUCACAGCCCAUAUCCAGUCUGUGCUCAACUUUCUCUGUGUGCUUAUGGCUGCUGAGCAGCAGCUGCAUCUGAUGCUUUAUUCACCAAUAAACAACUCAGAACGGAAUAAUGAAAACAGACCCAGGUUAAGAUUCACCCUAAAAUUACAAAAAAUAGUAGUAAUAAUAAUAAUGGUAAAAUAAAAU